AAUUUUGACUGCCUGGCAAACUCUUAUUCAUCCUUCAAUUCUCAGGGGGAUAUCUAUCAGACAUUCUACCUGGCGUCUGCUGCUCCAUCAUCACUGCAUCCAUCAUCACCAGAGGAGUCUCCUCUCCUUCUGUGGGUGAGUUCUGGAGAAGACCUGGGCACACUGAGCUCAGCCACUUCCCCUUCCUGGUAUGGGUCUUCCCUCAUGACUUCACCACCACCUUAAUCACCUCCUAAAGGCCUCACCUUUUAAUUCUGUCACAUGGGAGUUUAAGUUCCAACAAAUACCUUUUGGAGGGGUACAAACAUUCAAACCAUAGCAUGGUGAUGGUGGGGUCAUAUGCCCAAGAGAUGUAUAGGAUUCACUGUAAAGAUGGCACAUAAAAGAGGACAUAUAUUAAUGGAGAAACCAGCUUGGAUGUAAAUAGAUGACCGAAUCUUGCUUAGAUGUUGGUCUGAUAGGAACAUAUUGGUUGGUAUUAUUCCACUAAGGAAAGCAAAGAUACAAAAAAUAAGCAGUUUUUGUUGAAUAAACAAACCCACUGGCAGACUCAGAACUCGUGCACUUGACAGCUCUCCCUCACUAUGGGGAGACCCCACAAGACUUGUUAGAAGAGCUCGUUAGGAAAACAGAUGCCUUGGCCAGAAAACAAAGGGACAGUACAAGGAAAGAGAC
rnacentral:lncRNA from 1 species